rnacentral:rRNA from 1 species
GAUGAACGCUGGCGGCGUGCCUAAUACAUGCAAGUCGAGCGAACAGACGAGGAGCUUGCUCCUCUGACGUUAGCGGCGGACGGGUGAGUAACACGUGGAUCACCUACCUAUAAGACUGGGAUAACUUCGGGAAACCGGAGCUAAUACCGGAUAAUAUAUUGAACCGCAUGGUUCAAUAGUGAAAGACGGUUUUGCUGUCACUUAUAGAUGGAUCCGUGCCGGAUUAGCUAGUUGGUAAGGUAACGGCCUACCAAGGCAACGAUGCGUAGCCGACCUGAGAGGGUGAUCGGCCACACUGGAACUGAGACACGGUCCAGACUCCUACGGGAGGCAGCAGUAGGGAAUCUUGCGCAAUGGGCGAAAGCCUGACGGAGCAACGCCGCGUGAGUGAUGAAGGUCUUCGGAUCGUAAAACUCUGUUAUUAGGGAAGAACAAAUGUGUAAGUAACCAUGCACGUCUUGACGGUACCUAAUCAGAAAGCCACGGCUAACUACGUG